GAAAAGAAGAGGGGAAAGUUCUGAGUCAGCCAUUUAAAAUAUCGGCAAUAGUUCUCACCACCUCACAAAAGCAGCCUGUGUACAACUCACGGCCAGUCCAAGGGGACCGAGGCACGGGCAGGAACAGGAUUUAAAGGUUACACAGAAAUCUGGAGGAAAAGAGGCACUGCAAUCACAUGGGUCAGCAAUCCAGCGUGACUUUCAUUUCUCUAGCUUUCCUGGUGGCUCAGACGGUAAAGAAUCUGCCUGCAAUGGAAGAGGCUCUGGUUCGAUCCUUGGGUUGGAAAGAUCCACUGGAGAAGGAAAUGGCAACCCACUCCAGUAUUCCUGCCUAGAGAAUUCCACGGACAGGGGAGCCUGGUGGGCUACAGUUCAUGGGGUCGCAGAGUCGGACACGACUAAGCGAUUAACACUUGCACUUUUCAAUGAGAAAAAUAAAUAAAGCCUUGCUUUUAACUCAGAAACAACCCUUCCCUCCUUGUGGGAAGGGAGAAGGUGAGCUGGCCUGGAGGGGCUGAGAGGCCUGGGCAACCCCUGUGACGGGGCCUGGUCUGCAGUCACAGAGGCUGUUCUUAUGAGGGAAGAUGCACUUGGGACUCCCUAG
ensembl:lncRNA